rnacentral:rRNA from 1 species
UACAGAGGUCCCAAGCGUUGUUCGGAAUCACUGGGCGUAAAGGGUGCGUAGGCGGCGCGGAAAGUCAGGGGUGAAAUCCCGGAGCUCAACUCCGGAACUGCCUUUGAUACUCCCGCGCUUGAGAACUGGAGGGGAGACCGGAAUUCACGGUGGAGCAGUGAAAUGCGUGGAUAUCGUGAGGAACACUAGUGGCGAAGGCGGUCUCUGGACAGUGAUCUGACGCUGAGGCACGAAGGCCAGGGAGCGAACGGG